rnacentral:lncRNA from 1 species
ACUUGUCCAUAUGCAUUGCCCUUGGUAUACUCAGUAACAUCAUAGUUAUAGGUGAGCUCCAGCACAGUUGUCUCAUUCUCUUCAGCAUAACCCAUCAUGGCCAAGGUGUACUGUCAUAUUUCAUGAAACAUUAUGAGAGUGGAAUAAUCUUAAAACACUCAGGGAACCAACAUGUGGUCCAAUGCAAUACCAUAUGCUUAGGUAGAGCAGGGAUGACCAACCUUGUACUCGGGCUUAUCCACUUUCCUUAACAGUUUCAUGCCCAAUGCCUGCACAAGGAUAAGGUAAAUCCCUGAAACUACUAUUGUAGCAAAAUCACAGUCACAGUAAAACUCUUUGGAACAAACAACACCAAGCGAAGUCUUUUUUCCCCACUAUUUGCAUAACCAUCAGACCCAUUGAACUCAAUUUCUACCUCACAACAUCAGUUCUCACAUGUGAACCUCACACUGACAAAGUAGCUGCUAGCUGCAUCUUAACUGGAAACAGUAUCAUCGGAAAACACAUUAGGAGAAGAAUCUCAUCAAUAUGCAGAACAAGAAAACAUACUUUCUCAUAAAACUUAAUUGCGCGCUCCAAAUCACCAACUCGAAGCAUCACUUGGCAAAGUGGUUCUGGAGUUGCACCUCUUUGAAUAAGCUCAAAGAUAUAACCAUCCGGGUCCUUCACAAAAGCAAUGACAGUCGUUCCACCUUUCACUGGACCAGGCUCCCUUGUGACCGUGCCACCCUUGGCCUUGAUUUCUUCAACCAUCUUGUACACCUGCAAAGUCAAAGAAAUCCAAAAUGGAUGACCAAUGAAGCAGGCAUUAUACUUUGAAAUGUUGUUAAACAGAGCAGAGACACUCACAUCUUGAGUUGCAAUGGCAAAAUGUCCAAAGCCAGUUCCAAUAUCAUAAGAGCUCACUCCAUAAUCUGAAACAGAAGAAAAGCAAAGUUUCAGGAAGCUACUGAAACGAUGAAUGAGCGCCACCUUAUACUAUGCCUUUAAAGAAAUUUCUUAUAGCCUAUUUCACCAUUCUCCAAAAACACUGCUCAUAUAAAAAAUUAGAAGUUUCAAUGGAUGUUGGAAUGUUCUAACAUUUUUCCCCUUUUGAUAAACUUUGAUGCAAAGAAGGAACGAAUAGGGCCGGUUUUAUGGCCUUUGCCUGUCUAACUUAACAUCAACACGAAUGUUCUCGUGGAAACUGAACAAGGAUGGAACUUUUCCAGUAAAGGUCCAUGCCACAUGAAAGAGACACUAUGCAGUCACUAAAAUGGUGGGUUCACUCAAUCAUAAGUAUUUAAACCUGCCAGCUAGUGAAGUGGUCAAUCCUUUUGGUACACUUCAAUACAAAGAGUACACGCUAUGCAUUCACUGCGAUGUAUACCAAAUAAGCCUACAAUAAUGCAGGAAACCAUUCAAUGACCACAAAGAACAAAUUAGCAACGACCUAGAGAGAAUAAGUAACGGUUGGUCCCCUUAUUUGUUGGUCAAGAGGUAUGCACCGCGCAUGUUGUUACAUAUUAAACUGCAGCAACACUAAAGAAAAAGGUCCAACAGCUCUAGUAACUGGAAAGAACAAAUUGACUAGUUUCUUCAAGAGAUGAAAUCUCUUCAUAUGCACAUUAACACACAACAGAAAAAAACUCAAAUUUGAUGAGUCAGCCCCGAAAAGAACUUACUGUAUGUCAACUCCACAGCGAAGUGAGAUUCUUCGGGGCCAUAUCCGAGGAAGGCAUUGGAGUAUUUCUCCUCAGGAACGUCCCUUUUCCUCAGCAACUUCAUGCCAAAACAUUCCGUAUAAAAUCUGGCACCAAAUAACGAAUCCACAAGAAAUGAUCACCUUCCGAUUCCAGAGAACCGGUUGACAACAUCUUAGAAGCCUCAAAACACAGAACAGCAAGAACAUGCUUUUCAAGCAACCCAUUUCUCAAAACAACCAAACGAAGCAUUUUUCACCCAUGUCCUCUCUUGGGUCCUAAUAAUCAUCGUUCAUUCUCAUAUUUCGUCCUUAGAAACUGCUUUCCCCAGACACAAUACAGACCAAAAUAGCAAAGGAAAACGCGAUGCGGUGCGUACUUGAUUGUGCGGUCGAGAUCGCCGACGCGGUAGACGACGUGGAGGAGGCGGCGCUUGUCCUUCUUCGGCCACUCCAGGAGCUCAGCAUUCACGGGUGCAGCCUCGGCCAUUUCCAAAAGCUCGCAACGCGCUCUGCUCCCACCGCGAAAAUAAAAAUCAAGAAGCCGUCAUCAGUACCCACAAAAGCUGGAGCGCCACACGAUGAAAUCCGAGACGAAUUACGAGAAUCGAAACGAAGCCCACGAGAGCGAACGGAGCGUAGAUUGCGAAUUCGCGACGCAGAUGAAGGAUCGACCGACAGAACUUCUAGAGAGAGAGGAAGAGCGAGGAAGAGCGAGCGUACCAGAGGGUGGUGAAGAGUGUCGAGUGAUCCAGAAUGAUCGCCGCGAGCGUCAACAUAUAUAGAAAAGUGAGCCAUCCGUCAUCGAGAAUCCCGCUAAAAUGACGGGCUGUCACCCGGCUCCGCGGUGAAUGACGAGAGGAGAUCCCGGGAAGACCGGAAGUGACGGAGAUCUCGGGCUGGAGUAGUUAGGCGAUCGGCCAAUGAGGGGAGGCUGUCAUCUAGCGGAACCGACGGCCGCUGCCUCUCGACACCGAUGGAUUAAGGAAAGUAAGAUUUGACCUACAAGUAGACCUGCCUGAAAGUCAAACCGCAUGGUGAUAUGGAGGACUAAUAUUAUUUAAUAUUUUUUACGGAUACGAUAAAAAAAAGAAAAAUUGGUGAUAUCAUUUUCUGUUUCCGGACUCGAUAGAGGGCGUGUUCAUUCUGGACAAGGAAAAAUUAGGACACUGGAUUUAUUUCUCGGAAAAUUUAGCAGCGUAGGAGUAGUGGAAUCUAGGUUUUGAAUUUUAAGUAGAGGUUUUGGACAGAGUAAUGUCUAGAAAUUCGAAUUUUGCGACUUUUUCUUUUGGUCAAAAAGCAGAGGUGGUCCUCUUUGAUUGAUGGUAGGUGGGGUUGGAGGGUAAGAAAAAAAGGAGUGGAUAGAAAGAUGGACACAGUGUCGUCAAUAGUCCUAAGGAUAAUGAUUUGACAGUAAAGGGUGUUUUGGGUAAAAUUCUACGUCAUUUUAUAAUGGAUAAAAAACCACCAAAUUUUAAUUUUAAAUUUGUAUUUAUAUGACAUUUAUUUUUAGUCAAAAUGCAGUUAAUGAGAAUUAUUAAAAAUCUAUCUACAUAAGAGAAAGUAAAUAGCAUUGACAUGACACUCAUGUGACUUAAUGAAAUAAAACUAUAUUGUAUUUAUUGAAGAAUCAUCUAACAAAAUCUUAACGGAUAAUAAAUAUAUAACAUAAAUACAAAUCUUCAAUUCAAUAAAAAAUUUUGGGUAAAUACAUCACAAUAUGCAUAAUUUAAGAUUUCUUAUGCUAUAAAAAAGUCACGGUUUGUGUAAUUUAGGGUUUUUUUUAUGAUUUUUCCUCUUUAUAAUUUUUUAAAAUUUAUCCCAGUAUAAGAGUAUUUAAGUAAUACAUCUUAAGCAAAUCACAAAUUGCAAUAAAGUUAAAGAUCCAUAUCAACAAUGACCCAAAAAUAGAAAAGAGAGUGAUCUUUAAUGAUUAUAAUUUUUUAUUGCUUGAGUAUCUAUAUCUAUCACAAGAAUCUCUAGGGAAAAAGGUUUGAUAAUUUAUCUUCACAUGGAAAAUUUGAAUCUCAAAAGAUUGAAAAGAUUGUGAUCGAUGGAAACUAAAUAGUAUGAUAUAAUUCGUGAAUGGAAGAAUUAACCAAAUUUGGAUUGAAUAUCCAAGCGUCUUUUAAAGUUACAAUUAUAACUUCACCACAUGUUAAUAAUAAAUGAUACUAGUAUAUGUGAAUAUAUUUCAAAAUGGUUUUUCUUCCGUCGAAUAUAUUUUGAAAUGGCAACUACCAAAAUUUAUUUAGUUUGAUGUAAUUUUUUUUGGUAAGUAAGUUUGACAUGAUUUUUAGAAAAUUGGGAAAAUGAAGGAAGAAUGAAAUGAAAACCUGCUAAAGCUUUAAAGAAUUCAUAAAAGGUAAUUACCGUCGCGUUUUUUCACUCCUUAUAUUCCUCACACUUUUCCUUUUAUAAUGUUCUGACCAUCAUAUCAUUUGCUUUUUCCACGCUUCGCAUGCUUGUACCACACUGAUUCAUGUGGUUUAACAUGCGUGUACCACACUGACUCAUAUGUGGGGUCCAUUUGUUGUCACUCUUUUUAUUUGACUUGUCUCUUGUCGUUUUUUUUUUUUUUGUGUGGAUAAAAUGCAAAUUAUUAUCCCUUGCAUAAUUAUUUUUAUUUUAUUUAGUUGCAUUUUUGUAUUUGUAACGAACAAUUAGGUAGUUUAAUUCUUUCUUUAUGAAAUACAGAGUUCACCAUGGGAAUUAUCACGUGUGGAUUGGAGAGUCAUUUUUUCUUCUUGAACGCAGAAAUCCUUCUUUGCCUUAUAGUAGUAUAGAUAUAGAUAAAUCAAUGGGAGAGAUGAUAUGAUUUCAAUCCUUGGGUUUUAUUAUAGUUUAUGAAUUAAAAUUAAGUUAAAUAGAAUUUAUUCACAUAAUGUAGCUAUGCAUAUUUUGGUUUUGGAAAUUGUAAUUGCAAAUUUAAGUGGAUAACAUAAUAUCACGAGUUACAUUGACAAUCUAUGUCAACAUAUAUUCGGCGUUAACCAUUGCAAUUUAAAUUAACUAAAUAUACCUAUAAAAUUCUUAAAGCAUAUAUCUAAAUAGUGUUAGCAAGCCUAUUACCGGCCUUGCACCGCCCAAACCUGCCAAAAUCCUCACCACCUAUUUCUUGUCGGAAAGUGCCGGCCUAGUGGGUGCCCGACGAGGAGGCAAGGCCCUACGUCCGAUGCCCAUCCCUAGCCAAGCCUUGGUGGGAUCAAUGUUCUCCAACCUGUCUCGCACCCCUAACUCCUUCCCCGUUUGUGCACCUUUGAAGCUCUUUCUGCUUGCUCAAAAAAAAAAAAAAAACUCUUUCUGCAUUCUCACCUGCACAAUUAUGCGCAAUGCCUUACAGCACUUAAAAGGAACUUUGAAAUCAAUCAUAAAAUAUUAACUACGAAAAUCUAACAAGAGAUUAACAAACAUCAAAUCUAGAGUUUUAGCUUUCUUGCAAUGAAUAAUUAACAAUAUCAACAUAAUUGUAUGCAAAAUCCAAGAAAAACAACUAUUUUGAUAUUUUUUUCUCAAAUUAUACAUAAUUGAUUGGAGGAAAAAUUAUCCAAAAAGUCAUAAACUUAUUGUACAUAUGACAAAUCAGUCUUAAAUCUUUAUAUUAUGCCAAUUUAAUCCUAAAUCUUUUAUCAAUUUACCAAUUUAGUUAUAGACCCUUCAUUGUAUUAAUAUAGUCAUAAACAUUUUGACGAUUUGUUGGUAUAGUUUUUCCAGCCAAAUAUCCAUAUAAUAGGUUUGGUGCUUGUAAGACAUGUCUUCGAAGAAAAUAAACUUUGUAUCCCCCAAUCGCUGGCUUGUAUGUUUGGUUCUUGUAAGACAUGACUCCGAAUUAGAAAAGACUUUUUGGAAACCAAGGAAAAAGAGUAAGCAAUAAUAGAGAAUCAUCUACAGUAGGGGUGUCAAAAAAACCCGACACGAUCCGAACACAAAACAAGAAUACUUGUUUCUGUUCGGGUCAUGUUCAGAUAACAAAUAUAAAACAAACAAAACAAUGUGUUUUGGGUUGGGUCAGGAUUCGAACAUUGUUCGACCCGAAACACGUUAAUUCCAAACACGCCAAAAUCACAAACCCCAAACAGUCAAACACAAACACAUACCUCGUCGGCUCCGCCUUCUUCUCCGACGAGUGCACCUUCUCGUGGAGUCCGCUGCCGCCCUCUGAUCGACGCGCCUCCGCCUCGUCGUCGCCGUUGCCACCCCUCGCCUCCGCCUCGCCGACGCCGGAACCCUAGCCGCCGCGUGCGGCCGACCAUCAUCGACGGCUCAGGGACUGGGUUCGCUCGGCGAUCAUGGCACUCGCUUCUCGGCUCGUUUCCAAGUUUAGAUGUAUAUUUGCUUGAGGCUUGAGCUAAGACACCGGAUUUACCGGUUGUUCCUUUUCUUUUCGAGCUGCGAGGGUGAUUGUUCUUUCGCGUUGUGUGCAGACUCUGUGUUUGCUUCAAUUCCCGAGUGAACUGCGGCGUACAGUUUUUGAGCGAUCGUGACACUUAAGUUAGCGGGUUCCCGUGUCGGCGUAUCUCGCGAAGCUUGCUCGCAUCUCCGUGAAACCAUACUGAAGUGAGGAUCAUCCACGGGACAUGAUGGGUUUGGAGGUUGAAACGCUUGAGGAGAGAUUGAAGUCUUCCUUGGUCCAGCUUCAUGCGGAAGGUGCCAUUCUUGAAAGGAUGGUGUACAAAAACAAGAACCAGCAUAGGCGUUGGUCCUAUUUCCAGUAUCUUUUGAAGGUUCCUUUUUUCGCCCACCGUUUGACUGGUGUCAUGACUCAUGACCUACUUUUGAGCUUUUUAAAAUUAGUCAAAAAGGCAUUGGAAUCUGAGAGAUGUCUUAUUUGAAAAGGUGAGAGGGAAAGAUUGAAGUUUAGAUGAAUAGCCGAUGAAGGAUUCGUGGAUCUUAAGUGUUUACUGGUGGUUUUGUUUAUGCAGCUUAAAAGUUUUAAACCAGUGCAAUCAGCAAAAGAUUGCGUCAUUUUUUUUGAGGUCGGGAAGCAGAAAUUGGAUUUGGCAAAAUUUUACCCCUCUCUUGGAAAUGUAAAAAAUUUGGGGCCAGAGUGAUUAAGGUGAAAGCUAGCCCUCUCAACUGAUUGUUAUUAGUGUUCUUUCCGGUACCUUUUCUUUUUACCGUCGUAUGUAUGGCCUGGCCGAGGUUUUUCAUUCCAGCGAUUCCUGGGUUGGCAGGGAAGAGGUUCCUUUUAGGGCUCGUUUUAUUUCAACUCAAGUGGGUAAGAGUCAUGUUAUCUUAAUUUCUCACGAAUUCAUCUUUUAAUGCUUUCUUAUUCAAGUUUCCUUCCAGUGAGCUGAGAAUUGACCAUUUGCAUUUGUGGAAAUACCUGAUCCUGUGUUUUUUCUCUGUGCAGUAAGGAACAGAUAGAAAAAAAGGGAGGUGAAAAAAAAAAAAAGUGACAACCCAGAACCCGACCCGAACCGACCUAAAUUUCCAAUGCGAGUUUAAUGUGUUUCGCGUCCGGUUCGGGUCGGGUCGGGUCAAACUAUGUGACCCUUAUGUUUCGGGUUGGGUCGGGUAACAUCAAAACCCGACCCGACCCGACCCAUUUACACCCCUACUACAUAGUGCUUUUAGGUGACAUUCACAUGAUAUAGUCUCCUUGCACAACAAAUAUUUGGAACCUUGAGUUUUGUCAUGUCUGUGACUGCAUCUAAAUAUAAGAUAAGAGAAAAUGAUACAAAUAGUCCUCAAAUUUUGACCUAAUUUACAAUGUAACCCUUGAACUUUUUAUUUGCUUAGCGUAGUCCAUGAACUUUAGCCCAAUUUGCAAUGCGAUUCUUGAAUUUUUAAUUUGUUCAAUGUAGUCCAUGAACUUUUGGUACAUAUUUAAUUUAGUGUAUGGUAUGAAAAUAAUCAAUGUUGUCCCUAAUUUUCAAUUAAUGGAAUGACUAUAUUGAAUAUUUUAUAUAGUUUAGGGAUCACAAUGAAUAUUAGGUUAAAGUUCAAGGAUGGUAUUGAACAAAUUAAAAAUUUAACGACGACAUUGCAUAUUAGACCAAAGUUCAUGGAUCAUUAUCCCCUAAGAAGACAACUACAAGCUCAUGCACCGCGUAGCACACCAAUCAGCAACCUUUCUCUCACCUUUGUCAAGCCCUUUAAGCAAUAAUUGACUGCUCAUUACUCAUUAGUAUGAGCAAGAGGGCCUGAGCUUCUGUUAUGAUACCUUUAAACUCUCUAGGCCCUGUGUACCAAAAGAGGCCUUGCUCUUACAAGGCUUGAGCUUUGGCCCCCAAUCAAGCGACCAAUUUGGGCUGCCGUUAUUUAGAUCCGGAGCUAUUUCCAUAUCCCUGUGCAGUGACAUUUCGAUUACCAAGUCGGGGAAUGUAGCACAAACUAUUUUUGUCUACAUCAGCAUUAAUUACGCCACAUUGGACAACUGAUGUUUAGGUCAGUAAUAUCCGAUCGAAAUUAGUUGGAAUGACUAAAUUGACAAUUUCUUAGAAGGUUUAGAAUUAAAUAAGUACAAUUAAAAAGUUUAGUAUUAAAUUGACUAUAAAAGAAUUUAGAAUUUUCACCCAUGUCCUCUCUUGGGUCCUGAUAACCAUCGUCCAUUUCCCCAGACGCAAUACAGACCACAAUAGCAAAGGAAAACGCAAUGCGGUGCGUACUUGAUCGCGCAGUUGAGGUCGCCGGCGCGAUAGACGGCGUGAAGGAAGCGGUGCGUGUCCUUCUUCGGCCACUCCAGGAGCUUAGCAUUCACGGGUGCAGCCUCGGUCGUUUCCAAAAGCUUGCGAAGCGCUCUGCUUCCAACGGGAAAAAGUCAAGAAGCCAUCAUUAGUACCCACAAAAGCUCGAGCGCCACACGAUAAAAUCCGAAACGAAUUACGAGAAUCGAAACGAAGCCCAUGAGAGUAAACGGACCGUAGAUUGCGAAUUCGCGAAGUAGAUGAAGGAUCGAUCGACAAAGUCUCGAUCAAGAGAGAGAGGGAGAGCGAGCGCACCAGAGGGUGAAGAAGAGUGUUGAGUGACCUAGAAUGAUGGUUGAUAUAGUCAUCCGUAAUCAGGACCUGGACAAGUCCUUAAAUUGUCCCAUUUAUCGGAGUCAACCCCAAACGUAAAAUGGGGUAAUGAUAAACCUCUAGGCUAAAUUAACCAAAAUGGGAAAUUCCCCCAGGCCUGAUCCUCACGAGGCCCGGUAUGCAAUCAACAAGAUGCAGGGUUCAGGAGGCCUUACAAGGAAAUGCUAGCAACCGGUUAAUCAGGACCUGGACAGGUUUUAAACUGUCCCAUUUAUCGGAGUCAACCUCAAACAUAAAAUUGGGUAAUUAUAAAUCUCGGUUAAAUUAACCAUAAUGGGAAAUUCAGAAUCCACUAAAACUACAGGCUGUCACCCAGUUUCGCAGCGAAUGACGCACGGAGAUCCCGGGGAGACCGCCAGGCGACGAGGAUCUCGGGCUAGAGUGGUUAGGCGACUGGCCAAAUGAGAGGAGGCUGUCAUCUAGUGUAACCGACAGCCGCUGCCUCUUGACACCGGGGGAUUAAGGAAAGUAAGAUUUGACCUACGGGUGGACCUGCCUCCAAGUCCAACCGCAUGGUGACAUUGAAGACUAAACUUAAUUAUCUUUUUUUUACAGAUACGAGAAAUUAAUUAUUAUUUUUUGGCAACAUUGCUUUUAUUUCUGGACUCGAUAGAGAACGAUGUUCAUUCGGGACUAGGAAAAAUAAGGACGCCGGAUUUAUUUUUCGGAAAAAUCAAGCACACGUAGGAAUGAGCUAUAGGUUUUGAAUUUUAAGCAGAGGUUUUGAACAGAGUAAUGUCUAGAAAUUCAAAUUUUGCGACUUUAUUUUUUUGGUAAAAAAAAGCAGAGGUGGUCCUCUCUGAUCGAUGGUAGGUUGGGGUCGGAGGGCAAGGACAAAAGGAGUGGAUAGAAAGGUGGACACAGUGUUAUAAAUAGUGCAAAGGAAAAUGAUUGACAGUGAAUGGUGUCUUGGUUGAAAUUCCAGCAUCCAUUUGUAACGGGCAAAAACCACCAACGAGGCGGAGAUGCGACAGGAUAGUUCCUUGGGCCAGGAAUAGAUGUUGGAGUGAGGCGCUCACUUGGACCAGGAAAUUCCUCAUGGGGAAGGAUUUUUACCACAGGAUAGUUCGAUUCUCUUUCGGUGCUUUGUGCUAUCUCAUUUGGAAGAAGAGGAAUGCGAUUAUCUUCGGGGGUGAAUCCUUGGUGGUCCCUACCCUUAAAAAUCACCUAAUAAACGUGGUUAAGGACAAAGCACUCACAUUCACGGAAGUUCUUCCUUCUCCGAGGAACAGAAGACUGCAAAGGGGGUGGGGAUUCCACCCCAUGAUCUUUUCAUCUGUAGCUAUUCCUCCUUAGGUUGCUGGUGAUUCGGUCUGCUCUUGUUCUUGUAGUUACAGCUUCCUUCCUCCUCCGUUCUCCGCUUUCAGCUUUGAGGGCUUGAGGGAUGGGGAGGCUACGGGUUCCUGUUGUUACGGCUUGUUUGUUCGCUUCAUAGCUUUUGUGUUCUUGCUGGCGCCCUCGGGCUUUUUAUCGGAUCCCCGUCACUCUUGCUCCUUUGUUAAGAGUGCUUGUUUGGAUCCGAUCUUUUGUACUUUUGUCCUCCUCAUUAAUAUUAUUACCUUUACCAAAAAAGAAAACCACCAAAGACCAACGUCUGUUUCUCUGAAGACUUUAGGACGUCCUGUUUGAUAACCAUCUUAAUAGUGACGGGUUUUGAUUUUUUAUUCCCGGAAGUAAUUUUGGAACAUAAUCAUAUUUGGUAAAAAAAUUAUUCCCAGAAACAAUUUUCUAUUUUUUUUAUUCCCGAAAGUAGAUUUAAAAUAGAAUUAAGAAUUAAAAAAAAAAAGGUUGAUUUUUGUUCCCGGAAACAAAUCUAAGAAUCAAGCCCUUUUUUUUUUUCUUAUUCUUCCAUUUUUCUCUUUUUAUUCUUCCCUUUUUUUUCUUUUUCAUCUACCGCCAUUGCUACAUUUGCUGUCCUCCGCCCACUACCGCUAGUUGCCGGCAACCGGUUUGGCGAGCUCGCCGGAGACAAGCUCAACCACCAGCAAGGCCAAGCCUUGACAGGGCUAGGCGAGUCUUGCGAUCUAGCGAGAUCGAGCCUCACCUGUGGCCGGGUGGGCCUCAUCGGGGUUGGGUGAGGUCCGCCUCGCCACCAACGGCGAGGCUUGCCCAGCCAUCGGCAAGGCUCGAUCGACGAGGGCCGAUGUCACCAAGGGCCGACAACACUCCGGUGAGGCCACUGGCCCUCAUCUGGCCAAUCGCCAGACCAGCAACCAGCUACCUGAAGAAGAAGAAUAGGAGAGAGAAAUGAAAAAAAAAAUGAAAAAACUAAAAAAAUUAUUUAAAAAUUAAAAUAAAAUUAUUUAGAGUAAAAAUUUUGAGCACGGUAUCAAAUACAAUUCUAUUCCAAAAUAAAAAAUUUUGAAUAGUUACCAAACGGCUUAAAAUGCUUAGAAAUUAUUCUUAGGAACAGAAUAAAAAAAUAAUCAUUUUUGAUCAGAAAUUGUUCUCGGAAACAGAAUCGUUACCAAACACGUCAUUAACAUUCAAGUGAAAGGGAUUUUGAGGGGCACAAUACACAACGUUUUAUUUAUAUCAGACGAAAAGACUACGCAUCUGCUCAGCGCAUUGAACACUCACACCGUCACAAGAUUCUUACUGCAGUUCCUUCAGGAAGUCUUCAUUGUCAACCAGGACCUACAAGCAAAAAGUCUUAAGGAUCACAACGAAGUCGCCAUGAAAGGGAAAUAGAAUAUAAAUACAUCGCAUACUAGUUGAAAGAACUGAUGCUGCCAUAUUUAUGUCUAUUCGCAACGUAUGUGAUGUGAGGUCUUUGGGAAAUGAUUUCCAUUAUUGCUGAAGACAAAAUGGGUAGCCUUCUCUGGUGGAGUGUAGACACAAUGAUUUCAGGUGUAUACCCGUGUUGUGUGCUUUAUACUUCCCUUUCAUUUCCGUGCAAAACAAUAAUCAUAUGCACUACACAGGUCCCUCAUCUUCCAAGGCAAAGAUGCAAUAAAGCAGUUCUCUUUUUUUCUUUUUUUUUUCCUUAAGUGACUCAACUCAAAUACAUGCAUUGCCAGUUCUAUACACGUUACUCCUCAAAAAUAUGGCCAUUAACUUUAUCUUCAUCUUAAGCAGAGAUACAAUACUGCGUUCCUGCUCAUUCCCAUGAAUAAAGAGGUUUGAAAUUCAUAAAGCAUAAACUUACGGUUUUCCAACCAUCUGGAUCUAGGAAAGAGGUAAUUUUGGUGUUGAUCCCAGGAAGUGGUCCUGGCUGUCUAGUUAUUUUCCCACCAAGCUCUUCAAUAACCAGCUUAACCACCUCACCACUCUUGUAGACAUCGUCAGUGCUGAUGGCGAGCUAGAAUCGAGAGCAAACAUUCUUUAGCGAGUGAAAGCGAGAGAUCUAAAUUACAUUGCAUUUACAGCAAGCAAAAGUAAACAGACUAACUUGUGCAUAUGCAUUGCCCUUGGUAUACUCAGUAACAUCAUAGUUAUAGGUGAGCUCCAGCACAUUUGUCUCAUUCCCUCCAGCAUAACCCAUAAUGGCCAAGGUGUACUGUCAUAUUUCAUGUAACAUUAUGAGAGUGGAAUAAUCUUAAAACACAUAGGGAACCAACAUGUGGUCCAAUGCAACCUUCACAAAUGAUACCAUAUGCUUAUG